CCAUGUAACACUGUCCACUGUCUGUCCAUGUAACACUGUCCACUGUCUGUCCACUGUCUGUCCAUGUAACACUGUCCACUGUCUGUCCAUGUAACACUGUCCACUGUCUGUCCAUGUAACACUGUCCACUGUCUGUCCAUGUAACACUGUCCACUGUCUGUCCAUAUAACACUGUUCUCUAUGUGUGUGUGGUGGGGUUUGUGUGUGGUGGGGUUUGUGUGUGGUAGGGAGUGUGUGUGGUAGGGAGUGUGUGUGGUGGGGGGGGUGUGUGUGGUGGGGAGUGUGUGUGGUGGGGUUUGUGUGUGGUAGGGAGUGUGUGUGGUGGGGAGUGUGUGUGGUGGGGAGUGUGUGUGGUGGGGGUGUGUGUGGUGGGGAGUGUGUGUGGUGGGGUUUGUGUGUGGUGGGGUUUGUGUGUGUGGUAGGGAGUGUGUGUGGUGGGGGGUGUGUGUGGUGGGGUUUGUGUGUGGUAGGGAGUGUGUGUGGUAGGGAGUGUGUGUGGUGGGGAGUGUGUGUGGUGGGGAGUGUGUGUGGUGGGGUUUGUGUGGGUAGGGAGUGUGUGUGGUAGGGAGUGUGUGUGGUGGGGAGUGUGUGUGGUGGGGAGUGUGUGUGGUGGGGAGUGUGUGUGGUGGGGAGUGUGUGUGGUGGGGAGUGUGGAGUGUGUGUGGUAGGGAGUGUGUGUGGUGGGGAGUGUGUGUGGUGGGGAGUGUGUGUGGUGGGGAGUGUGGAGUGUGUGUGGUGGGGAGUGUGUGUGGUGGGGAGUGUGUGUGUGGGGAGUGUGUGUGGUGGGGAGUGUGGAGUGUGUGUGGUAGGGAGUGUGUGUGGUGGGGAGUGUGUGUGGUGGGGAGUGUGUGUGAUGGGGUGUGGGAGUGUGUGUGGUGGGGAGUGUGAUGGGGUGUGUGUGGUGGGGAGUGUGUGUGUGGGGGUGUGUUGGUGUUGUGGGGUAUGGUGUGUUUUGGUGGGGAGUGUGUUGGUGUUUUGGUGGUGUGUGUUGUGUGGUGUGAUGGGGUGUGGGGAGUGUGUUUUGGUGGUGUGGGGUGGUGUUGUGUGGUGUGUUUUGGUGGUGUUGUGUGGUGUGUUUUGGUGCUGUGGUGUGGUGUGUUUUGGUGGUGUGGUGUGGUCUGUACAGAAGGUGUACGGAGGGUAAAAUGGUGAUCGUGUUUUGGUGGUGUGGUGUGGUGUGGUGUGUUUUGGUGGUGUGGUGUGGUCUGUACAGAAGGUGUACGGAGGGUAAAAUGGUGUUUUGACUCACAGUCUCUCGAGCUCCUUCAGGUCCUGGAAGGCUCCUCUCUCUAUCAGAUUGAUCUUAUUCUCCAUCAACUGACUGUGGGGGGAGGGAGACGGGGAGAGGAGGGGGG
ensembl:lncRNA